CGGGUGAGUAACACGUGAGUGACCUGCCUUUUAGACUGGAACAACUUACCGAAAGGUGAGCUAAUGCCGGAUGAGUUAUAUAAGUGCAUGUUUAUAUAGGAAAAGUUGGGGAGACCUGACGCUGAAAGAUGGACUCGCGUCCCAUUAGCUAGUUGGUAGGGUAAUGGCCUACCAAGGCGACGAUGGGUAGCCGGCCUGAGAGGGUGGCCGGUCACACUGGGACUGAGACACGGCCCAGACUCCUACGGAAGGCAGCAG
rnacentral:rRNA from 1 species